rnacentral:rRNA from 1 species
GACGAACGCUGGCGGCGUGCCUAAUACAUGCAAGUAGAACGCUGAAGAGAGGAGCUUGCUCUUCUUGGAUGAGUUGCGAACGGGUGAGUAACGCGUAGGUAACCUGCCUUGUAGCGGGGGAUAACUAUUGGAAACGAUAGCUAAUACCGCAUAACAAUGGAUGACCCAUGUCAUUUAUUUGAAAGGGGCAAAUGCUCCACUACAAGAUGGACCUGCGUUGUAUUAGCUAGUAGGUGAGGUAACGGCUCACCUAGGCGACGAUACAUAGCCGACCUGAGAGGGUGAUCGGCCAAACUGGGACUGAGACACGGCCCAGACUCCUACGGGAGGCAGCAGUAGGGAAUCUUCGGCAAUGGGGGCAACCCUGACCGAGCAACGCCGCGUGAGUGAAGAAGGUUUUCGGAUCGUAAAGCUCUGUUGUAAGUCAAGAACGAGUGUGAGAGUGGAAAGUUCACACUGUGACGGUAGCUUACCAGAAAGGGACGGCUAACUACGUG